UAAUGCCGGAUGCUCCAGUUGACCGCAUGGUCCUCUGGGAAAGCUUUUGCGGUAUGGGAUGGGGUCGCGUCCUAUCAGCUUGAUGGCGGGGUAACGGCCCACCAUGGCUUCGACGGGUAGCCGGCCUGAGAGGGCGACCGGCCACAUUGGGACUGAGAUACGGCCCAGACUCCUACGGGAGGCAGCAGUGGGGAAUAUUGCACAAUGGGCGCAAGCCUGAUGCAGCGACGCCGCGUGCGGGAUGACGGCCUUCGGGUUGUAAACCGCUUUUGACUGGGAGCAAGCCCUUCGGGGUGAGUGUACCUUUCGAAUAAGCACCGGCUAACUACGUGCCAGCAGCCGCGGUAAUACGUAGGGUGCAAGCGUUAUCCGGAAUUAUUGGGCGUAAAGGGCUCGUAGGCGGUUCGUCGCGUCCGGUGUGAAAGUCCAUCGCUUAACGGUGGAUCCGCGCCGGGUACGGGCGGGCUUGAGUGCGGUAGGGGAGACUGGAAUUCCCGGUGUAACGGUGGAAUGU
rnacentral:rRNA from 1 species